CUGGUGAGCCUUGAGCUUGAGGCGUGCCUUUAAUAACUAUGACUACCGACAAAGAUUGAAAUUGAAGACAUAAUUUUUUCAAGAUAGAUAAGAAAGGAUGACCCAAUCUACAAUGAACUUCAAGAGGAGUUAAGAUACUAGAGCAAACAAGAGAUCGCGAUUCACGUUUAUCAAGGAUGUAGAGACCACCUGACUCGUGCCCUUUACUAAUAAUCUUCUUCAUUGUAAGAUCCUAAAACAAACAAUGAUAAUGGAAAAAGGAAAUAGAACAAUUUAAGUUUCGAGUAAGUUUACUAACAGAGAGUAAAUUAAAAGAGAAGUUAGGUAGACAUAAGACAGAUGACAAAGAUAUAGAUUAUAUUGGAUUCAUAGUUCCAGAACUCAUGAUACACAAAGUAGAUCCAUCAGUUAAAGUGACUGGGUAAGGGGUAGUAAAAGACUAAAAAUCAGAUAAAAGAUCAGAAUUACCUGUCUUGUGAUCUAUAGUACCAGAAUCAAUGACCGAUUUGGAUAAGGAGGACACAAGGCACGUAGUGGAUUUACCUAAUUCAGCGAUAGUAGUGAUUGAAGAAUUAGUAGGCUUUAGAAAUGCCUAAUAUUGGAAUAACUGUGCAAAUUUUUUUGUAGACACUGAGAUUGAUUUCUCAGAGGAAGAAGACAUGUAGAAUUUUCUGCUACCAUAUUUGCCACCUAGGAUCUCUGAUUUUUUCUCUGAAGUUUCAAACAGUUUCGUUUUGUAUGUCCAGGCUCAUGACAAUAAUAACAAAUGACUCCUCUCGAGUCCUAAUUAGAACUAGCCUCCCCAUUACUUUGAUUAUAUUUGUUGUCAGUAACCCCUCCUCUAUAUCCUUCUCUUUUUCUCUGUUGUCCACUCAUAAUCCAACUAAUAAGAGCAUCGUUUGUGGGUUAUGAAAAAUGAGUGCUCUCUGUACGAAGGAUACGUGUAAAGGUAUCAUGCAGAGAGGAAAUCUCAGAACUAGAGAGUAUCUGAGAUUUAACAGUCUUGUAUUCUAAGGGUAAACCAGCACGAAAACUCAUAACAAUUAUUUGCUCACAUUGAGCUUGUUGCACUUUUACAUCAGGACUGAAUGGUAACAGAACAUUAAGCUCUUAAUAUAUAUGUUUAAAUUCCAUAAAAUAUGCUGUAAGAGUCUUAUCUUGUUUUUCAAGUCGAUAAAAUGCUUUGCAAACAUUAUAUAUGCGAGAAAUAUUGCUUUUGCCAGAGUAUAAAAAUUCUA
rnacentral:misc_RNA from 1 species